rnacentral:rRNA from 1 species
CAAUAGCGUAUAUUUAAGUUGUUGCAGUUAAAAAGCUCGUAGUUGGAUUUCUGGAGGGAGCGUCGGCCCGUAUUUACGAGUGCGUGACGUCUCUGUCCAUCCUUGCGGGAAGGCACGGCAUUGAUUUGUUGUGUCGGAUCGCAUCAUUUACUGUGAAAAAAUUAGAGUGUUCAAAGCAGGCUUUCGCUUGAAUACAUUAGCAUGGAAUAAUAAGAUAGGACUUUGGUGCUAUUUUGUUGGUUGAGCCUAAAGUAAAGAUUAAUAGGGAUAGUUGGGGGCACCUGUAUUGCGUUGUCAGAGGUGAAAUUCUUGGAUUUACGCAAGACAAACAGCUGCGAAAGCGUCUGCCAAGGAUGUUUUCAUUAA